AGAGAGAGAGAGAGAGAGAGGAUGCACCAAAGCUGAUCUUUCAUUAUUAAUUUAUCAAAAAAUCUAAGCAAUAGAUUAAAAAUUGAAAGUUCUAGUUCUCUUGCUCCAGAAUAUGUUUGGUAGAAUAACUCUCAAAACCUACAUGUUAAAAUGAGAAAUCCUCAUUGAUUUCUUAGGGUAGGUUUUUUCUUUUCUUCAAAUUUUCUAGUUCAAACCCUAAACACAUCGUUUACCUAAAGAGAAAUGGGUUGUUUUUUUUUCCUCUUUGCCUUGGGUGUUGGGUCGGUUGGUGGGGCAUGGGGGAGGGAAUUGUUAAACCUAUUAAUAAUUACUGAAAUUCAAAUUUGCAGAUUCAAAUUUUCCAGGCUUAUUUUUUAAGAAUUGAAUUAAAAAGUUCGUAAAAUUUUAAAAAAUAUACACUUUAAUCCUUUUAUAACAUUUUAAUCCCUUACCAUUUAACUCAACUUUUAAUUCUCAUUUUUUAGAUAAAAUAACAUUUUAGUCUCAUAUCUUGAUAAAAUAACAUUUUAGUCUCAUAUCUUUUACUUUUCUUACAAAUUAAAAAUUAGUUCUAUCUAAAAUCUCAAGUACUAAAAUGUUAUUUAAAGCAAAAUCUUAGAGAUUAAAGUACAUGAUAUUUUAAUUGUACAACUGAAGUGUUAUAAAAUUAAUUUUUUUAAUUCAUCUUAAUAGGACUUAAAUGUGAAUUUUAUUAAAAGUUAGGGGGCUUACAGUAAUUUACAUUUAAUUUUUGUUGAAAAGACUACCAUACCCCUAGUGUAUUUUAUAAAAAAAAAACCCUCAGAGGUGGCUCAAUGCCCCCUUGACCACUUAUUAGGUCUGUCCCUGAACUACACAAAAGGGGAAACUCCAAAAUGGAUUAAAAUUUUCACAUUCAACUGCAUGUGGACCAUAAAACCACUAUUGCAGCACAAGACACCUUACAGUGAGUUCAUAUGUCUGUUACGAAAUCAAUCACAGAGAAUCUUGACACACUGAAGCAAUCUAUUAAGGGGAUCUCAAAGUUUCAAAACCAACAGAUGCACACUCAAGUUUGGUUUCAUAUAAACAACAACAGCAGUUAUUCACGUCUCUUGGGAAUCCUAGAAAUCAGUUAGAAAGGAAAGAAAAACAUAGCGGGCACCUAGCAGAGUCUCUUGGCCUUUCAUAUCAGAGACAUGGCAGUUCUGACUUGCACGGGUCCAGCAGAAUGAAAGGCCAAGGCUUCAAGGGAGAUAGAAGGCUGCCCUUAUGUAGCUCAGUCAUUGUAUAAAUAUAAAUGAAAACCUCUGUGCAAGUCUGUGGGUUGGUGGUUAAAUGUAUAUGCAUGAAAAAGAAGAGAGGACUCACCGUUGGCAAAUUCUUGCUGCGAAGA
rnacentral:misc_RNA from 1 species